rnacentral:rRNA from 1 species
UGCUCAGUACGGCGAGUGAGCGGCAAAAGCUCAAAUUUGAAAUCUGGCCCUUGCGGGUCCGAGUUGUAAUUUGAAGAAGCGACUUUGGUGUGGGCUCUUGUCUAUGUUCCUUGGAACAGGACGUCACAGAGGGUGAGAAUCCCGUGCGAUGAGAUGCCCAUUGCCGUGUAAAGCGUUUUCGACGAGUCGAGUUGUUUGGGAAUGCAGCUCUAAGUGGGUGGUAAAUUCCAUCUAAAGCUAAAUAUUGGCGAGAGACCGAUAGCGAACAAGUACAGUGAUGGAAAGAUGAAAAGAACUUUGAAAAGAGAGUGAAAAAGUACGUGAAAUUGUUGAAAGGGAAGGGCAUUAGAUCAGACUUGGUGUUUUACGAUUAUCUUCUCUUCUUGAGUUGUGCACUCGUAUUUCACUGGGCCAGCAUCGAUUCGGAUGGCAAGAUAAUGGCAGUUGAAUGUGGCUUCACUUCGGUGGAGUGUUAUAGCUUCUGCUGAUAUUGCCUGUCUGGAUCGAGGGCUGCGUCUUUUGACUAGGAUGCUGGCGUAAUGAUCUAAUGCCGCCCGUCUUGA